AUUGAACGCUGGCGGCAUGCUUUACACAUGCAAGUCGGACGGCAGCGCAGAGAAGCUUGCUUCUUGGGUGGCGAGUGGCGAACGGGUGAGUAAUAUAUCGGAACGUACCGAGUAAUGGGGGAUAACUAAUCGAAAGAUUAGCUAAUACCGCAUAUUCUCUGAGGAGGAAAGCAGGGGACCUUCGGGCCUUGCGUUAUUCGAGCGGCCGAUAUCUGAUUAGCUAGUUGGUGGGGUAAAGGCCUACCAAGGCGACGAUCAGUAGCGGGUCUGAGAGGAUGAUCCGCCACACUGGGACUGAGACACGGCCCAGACUCCUACGGGAGGCAGCAGUGGGGAAUUUUGGACAAUGGGCGCAAGCCUGAUCCAGCCAUGCCGCGUGUCUGAAGAAGGCCUUCGGGUUGUAAAGGACUUUUGUCAGGGAAGAAAAGGCUGUUGCUAAUACCGACAGCUGAUGACGGUACCUGAAGAAUAAGCACCGGCUAACUACGUG
rnacentral:rRNA from 1 species